GUCACAGGCUACACAAUCAUGUGGAAGACUGCUGAUGUGAUGUCCAGAAGACAAUCAUCAACACCCUUCAAAAGGAGUGCCGGGCUGGAGCUCUGAGGUUGCCAGGUUCUAGCGUCGAAAACGGCCAUCCCCCUUCUACGGAUAACCCGCCGGACAGGCUUUAGUUCUUCUUCUCUGAGGUUUCACAGCUUGCAGGCAUUAUUAAAAUUGCAAUACUGCCACCUCAUGGAUUUAGACUAGUUUAAAAAAAAAACACAUUUCAAGCAGCGUAUUUUUCAAAAUGUAUUCACUUUUCCACAUUUUUAUAGGCAGCAAUUUCUGCAUUGAAAUAACUAAGUAUUGCUUGGGCAUUUAUUUCCAAAUGAAAGGCUAUUUAAUGUACAGUACAGACCAAACGUUUCAAAGAGUUGUCUUUAUUUUCAUGACUAUGAAAAUAAAGACAACUCUUUGAAUGAGAAGGUGUGUCCAAACUUUUGGUCUGUACUAUAUAUAUUUCUGUUUGCUGAUAAAAUCACGGAGAUGUUUCUUGUCUUACAUAUUGUGCAGCUGCUAAUUGUAAGGUUCAGAUUCCUGAGACCCAGUGUGGUCAUCACAACUUUCAGAGGUAUACAGAACAUGUAAACAAAUGCUCUUUGAUAUUUAAAAAUAUGCCACCAUGAAAAAAACAUUCUUCUUUAAUGUGGCAUAUAACCUGUAUAAUUCAACAACAAAAAUAAUAAAUCUGGAAGGUUAGAAAUAUGUUAAAUGAAUAAAUAAUGUAGUUGUUAAAAACCACCUGUUUCGGUUCCAGCAUUCCAUCUCCUUUAGUUCACAUCUGUUAUGAGUAACAGUGAGUCUAAUUAAUCUGAAAAUAAAUGUAAAUGUUUGA